CGCCCUCCAUCAUAGCCACGCCCAUGCUACACGCCCUCAUUUUCAUGGUAGCAACAGGGACAGGUGAGGUAAGGUAAGGUUGGGUUAGGGAAGGUAAGGUAAGGUAAGGUAAGGUAAGGCUUAUUAAGGGGUUUGCUUAGGUAAGGUAAGGUAAGGUAAAGUAUGGUGUAGCUAGGUUAGGUCAGGUUAGGUCAAGUUGGGUUUGGUAAGGUAAAGUAAGGUAGGGUAAGGUAAGGUAAGGUUAGGUAAGGUAGGUUAGGUUAGGUUUGGUAAGGGAAAUGAAUGGGGAGAUAGAUUAGGUCAGGUUGGGUUUGGUAAGAUUAGGUUGAGUUGAUUUUGGAUAAGGGAAAGGUAGGAAGGAACGAAUUGGAGAGGGAAGGAAAGGUAAAAAAAGAAAAAAAGAAAAAAAGGUAAAGGGAAGGAUAUGGAAGCUAAAACAAAAUAAAUAAACAGGGAAGGUAGGGUUGGGUUGAGUCAGGUUGCUUUGGGAGG